UUAGCAUGUUAGUCAUGCUAAAAUGUUAGCAUGUUAACAUGUUAGUCAUGUUAGCAUGUUAGUCAUGCUAGCAUGUUAGCAUGUUAGUCAUGUUAGCAUGUUAGUCAUGUUAGCAUGUUAGCAUGUUAGUCAUGUUAGCAUGUUAGUUGCUUUCAAACAUGCCCAACACGGAGGCACACCCCUUGAUCACACGUCAUGUUAGUCAUGUUAGCAUGUUAGCAUGUUAGUCAUGUUAGUCAUGUUAGCAUGUUAGCAUGUUAGCAUGUUAGCCAUGUUAGCAUGUUAGUCAUGUUAGCAUGUUUAUAUGUUAGCAUGUUAAUUGUUAGUCAUGUUAGCAUGUUAGCAUGUUAGUCAUGUUAGCAUGUUAGCAUGUUACUCAUGUUAGCAUGUUAGCAUGUAAGCAUGUUAGCAUGUUAUUCAUGUAAGUCAUGUUAGCAUGUUAGUCAUGUUAGCAUGUUAGCAUGUUAGUUGCUUUCAAACAUGCCCAACAUGGAGGCACGUCCCUUGAUCACACGUCCUGUUAGUCAUGUUAGCAUGUUAGUCAUGCUAGCAUGUUAGCAUGUUAGUCAUGCUCGCAUGUUAGCAUGUUAGUCAUGUUAGCAUGUUAGUCAUGCUAGCAUGUUAGUCAUGUUAGCAUGUUAGUUGCUUUCAAACAUGCCCAACACGGAGGCACACCCCUUGAUCACACGUCAUGUUAGUCAUGUUAGCAUGUUAGCAUGUUAGCAUUUUGAAAAUUCCUAGCACCAACGCUGCUGACGUGCCCAACCAAACUAGUUGUUAUUUCCCCUCCUUUGGGGCGGUACGGCUCCGUUGGUAGAGUGGCCGUGCCAGCAACUUGAGGGUUCCGGGUUCGAUCCCCGCUCCCCGCCAUCCUAGCCACUGCCGCUGUGUCCCCGGGCAAGACACUUUACCCAGUGCCACCCACGCUGCUUUAAAUGGAACUCAGGUAUUGGGUUUCACUAUGUAAAAGCGCUUUGAGUCACUAGAGAAAAGUGCUAUAUAAAUAAAAUUCACUGCACCAUUUUUUUGGAAGAAAAAUGUCCACAUUGGGGUGAAAGUUGUCGUCGCAUUUUGCCAUGUUGCACUCUACGGUGCAGCGAGUGGCUCCUUUUGACUUUCUUUAUCUGAUUCAGUCCAAAACAGUCACCGGCAGAUGUGUCGUCGUUUUGUGGCACGACGACGCCAUCAAUCCAAGAGCGUUGUUACCACGGAGCGUGGAGAAACAGUAAUUGCUUUGUGUGAUGAAUAAAUCCACGGUGGAGGGAAACAGUACAGUGACUACGUUAGGUAAAGUCCAAAUAAAAGCAAAAAGUAUUUCCCACACUUUGCUGGAGUAAUCAAGAGAUGUUGUGGUGCACCUGCUGGCUUCUUGCUUGAUGGAUGGCACUAGCUUACACCAACCACUCGCUAAACUUACAGGACUUUUUUUUUUAUUAGAAACAAUUUAACUUAACAUGCAUGGCGGCACUCACUGAGGUCUCACAUUUCACCAGGCAGGGACGAUACUGUCAUCUACACCCACCCCAAGCAGUCAAGUUGUCAUGUUGUGUAAAUCAGUGGUCCCCAACCACCGGACCGAUUGGUACCGGGCCGCACAAGAAUUAAAAAAAAAAAAUAAUAAUAAUAAUAAUAAUAAUAAUAAUUAUGAAAUCAACAUAAAAAACACAAUACAUACAUUCUAUAUCAGUGGUCCCCAACCACCGGGCAACAGCCUGAUACCGGUCCGCGGACCGAUUGGUACCGGGCCGCACAAGAAUUAAAAAAAAAUAAAAUAAAAAAAAUAAUAAAAAAAUUAUGAAAUCAACAUAAAAAACACAAUAUAUACAUUCUAUAUCAGUGGUCCCCAACCACCGGGCCACGGCCUGAUACCGGUCCGCGGACCGAUUGGUACCGGGCCGCACAAGAAUUAAAAAAAAAAAAAAAAAAAAAAAAAAAAUUAUGAAAUCAACAUAAAAAACACAAUAUACACAUUCUAUAUCAGUGGUCCCCAACCACCGGGCCACGGCCCGAUACCGGUCCGCGGACCGAUUGGUACCGGGCCGCACAAGAAUUUAAAAAAAAAAAUAAAAAAUUAUGAAAUCAACAUAAAAAACACAAUAUAUACAUUCUAUAUCAGGGGUCACCAACCACCGGGCCACGGCCCGAUACCGGUCCGCGGACCGAUUGGUACCGGGCCGCACAAGAAUUAAAAAAAAAAAAUAAAAAAAAAAAAAAAAAAAUUAUGAAAUCAACAUAAAAAACACAAUAUAUACAUUCUAUAUCAGUGGUCCCCAACCACCGGGCCACGGCCCGAUACCGGUCCGCGGACCGAUUGGUACCGGGCCGCACAAGAAUUAAAAAAAAUAAAAAAAUAAAAAAAUUAUGAAAUCAACAUAAAAAACACAAUAUAUACAUUCUAUAUCAGUGGUCCCCAACCACCGGGCCACGGCCUGAUACCGGUCCGCGGACCGAUUGGUACCGGGCCGCACAAGAAUUAAAAAAAAUAAAAAUAAAAAAAAAUAAAUUAUGAAAUCAACAUAAAAAACACAAUUUACACAUUCUAUAUCAGUGGUCCCCAACCACCGGGCCACGGCCCGAUACCGGUCCGCGGACCGAUUGGUACCGGGCCGCACAAGAAUUUAAAAAAAAAAUAAAAAAAUUAUGAAAUCAACAUAAAAAACACAAUAUAUACAUUCUAUAUCAGGGGUCACCAACCACCGGGCCACGGCCCGAUACCGGUCCGCGGACCGAUUGGUACCGGGCCGCACAAGAAUUAAAAAAAAAAAAAAAAAAAAAAUAAAAAAAAAAUAUGAAAUCAACAUAAAAAACACAAUAUAUACAUUCUAUAUCAGUGGUCCCCAACCACCGGGCCACGGCCCGAUACCGGUCCGCGGACCGAUUGGUACCGGGCCGCACAAGAAUUAAAAAAAAUAAAAAAAUAAAAAAAUUAUGAAAUCAACAUAAAAAACACAAUAUAUACAUUCUAUAUCAGUGGUCCCCAACCACCGGGCCACGGCCUGAUACCGGUCCGCGGACCGAUUGGUACCGGGCCGCACAAGAAUUUAAAAAAAUAAAAAUAAAAAAUAAAAAAAAUUAUGAAAUCAACAUAAAAAACACAAUAUAUACAUUCUAUAUCAGUGGUCCCCAACCACCGGGCCACGGCCUGAUACCGGUCCGCGGAACAAUUGGUACCGGGCCGCACAAGAAUUUAAGAAAAAUAAAAAAUAAAAAAAUAAAAAAAUUAUGAAAUCAACAUAAAAAACACAAUAUAUACAUUCUAUAUCAGUGGUCCCCAACCACCGGGCCACGGCCUGAUACCGGUCCGCGGACCGAUUGGUACCGGGCCGCACAAGAAUUUAAAAAAAAAUAAAAAAAUUAUGAAAUCAACAUAAAAAACACAAUAUAUACAUUCUAUAUCAGUGGUCCCCAACCACCGGGCCACGGCCCGAUACCGGUCCGCGGACCGAUUGGUACCGGGCCGCACAAGAAUUAAAAAAUAAAUAAAUAAAAAAUAAAAAAAUAAAAAAAUAUGAAAUCAACAUAAAAAACACAAUAUAUACAUUCUAUAUCAGUGGUCCCCAACCACCGGGCCACGGCCCGAUACCGGUCCGCGGACCGAUUGGUACCGGGCCGCACAAGAAUUAAAAAAAAAAAAUUAAAAAAAUAAUUAUGAAAUCAACAUAAAAAACACAAUAUAUACAUUCUAUAUCAGGGGUCACCAACCUUUUUGAAAGCAAGAGCUACUUCUUGGGUACUGAUUAAUGCGAAGGGCUACCAGUUUGAUACACACUUCAAUAAAUUGCCAGAAAUAGCCAAUUUGUUCAAUUUACCUUUAACUCGAUGUUAUUAUUAAUAAUUAAUGAUAUUUACACUUAAUUGAACGGUUUAAAAGAGGAGAAAACACGAAAAAAAUGACAAUUAAAUUUUGAAACAUAGUUUAUCUUCCAUUUCGACUCUUUAAAAUUCAACCGAAAAAAAGAAGAGAAAAACUUAAAAAAAGAAUUUAUGGAGCAUCAUUAGUAAUUUUUCCUGAUUAAGAUAAUUUUAGAAUUUUGAUUAAAUAGGUUAAAAUCCAAUCUACACUUUGUUAGAAUAUAUAACAAAUUGGACCAAGCUAUAUUUCUAACAAAGACAAAUCAUUAUUUCUUCUAGAUUUUCCAGAACAAAAAUUUUAAAAGAAAUUCAAAAGACUUUGAAAUAAGAUUUAAAUUUGAUUCUACAGAUUUUCUAGAUUUGCCAGAAUAAUUUUUUUGCAUUUUAAUCAUGAUAACUUUGAAGAAAUAUUUCACAAAUAUUCCUCGUCGAAAAAAACAGAAGCUAAAAUGAAGAAUUAAAUUAAAAUGUAUUUAUUAUUCUUUACAAUAAAAAAAAUAAAUUUACUUGAACAUUGAUUUAAAUUGUCAGGAAAGAAGAGGAAGGAAUUUAAAAGGUAAAAAGGUAUAUGUGUUUAAAAAUCCUAAAAUCAUUUUAAGGUUGUAUUUUUUCUAUAAAAUUGUCUUUCUGAAAGUUAUAAGAAGCAAUAUAAAAAAAUGUAUGAAUUUAUUUAAACAAGUGAAGACCAAGUCUUCAAAAUAUUUUCAAAUUCUAUUUGAGUUUUGUCUCUGAUAGAAUUAAAAAUGUCGAGCAAAGCGAGACCAACUUGCUAGUAAAUAAAUACACUUUAAAAAAUAGAGGCAGCUCACUGGUAAGUGCUGCUCUUUGAGCUAUUUUUAGAACAGGCCGGCGGGCUACUCGUCUGGUCCUAACGGGCUACCUGGUGCCCGCGGGCACCGCGUUGGUGACCCCUGUUCUAUAUCAAUAUAGAUCAAUACAGCCUGCAGGGAUACAGUCCGUAAGCACACAUGAUUGUAUUUAUUUAUGUAAAAAAAUUAAAAAAAAGUUGUGUUUUUUUUAAAUACACCAAACCUGAAAAAGACUUGUUUGGAACUUGUUUGGAACAUCCCACGGGUGAGCAGGCUAAUUGGGAACAGGUGGGUGCCAUGAUUGGGUAUAAAAGCAGCUUCCAUCACAAGGACGGGGGCGAGGGUCACCACUUUGUCGACAAAUGCCUGAGCAAAUUGUUUAGGAACAACAUUUCUCAACAAGGAAUUUAGGUAUUUCGCCAUCUACGCUCCGUAAUAUCAUCAAAAGGUUGAGAGAAUGUGGAGAAAUCACUGCAGGUAAGCCGUGAUAUUACUCACCUCGGAUCCCUCAGGCGGUACUGCGUCGAAAAAGCCACGUCGGUGUGUAAAGGAUAUCACCACAUGGGCUCAGGGACACUUAAGAAAACCACUGUACAGUCAGCCGCUACGUCUGUAAGUGCAAGUUAAAACUCUACUGUGCAAAAGCCACAGCCAUUUAUCAACAACACCCAGAAACGCCGCCGGCUUCGCUGGGGCCCCGAGCUCAUCUAAGAUGGACUGAUGCAAAGUAGGGCUGCAACAACUAAUCGAUUAAAUCGAUUAAAAUCGUUUAUAAAAAUAGUUGCCGAUUAAUUUAGUCAUCGAUUCGUUGGAUCUAUGCUAUGCGCAUGCGCAGAGGCUUUUUAAUUUUUUUUAAUUUUUUUUUUUUUUUUUUUUUUUUAAUUUAUAAACUGCGACAUGUACAAACAGCUGAGAAACAAUAAUCAAAAUAAAUAUGGUGCCAGUAUGCUGUUUUUUUUUCAAUAAAAUACUGGAAAGGAUAGAAAUGUAUUUUGUCUCUUUUAUCCGAUUAUUAAUCGAUUAAUCGAAGUAAUAAUCAACAGAUUAAUCGAUUAUCAAAUUAAUCGUUAGUUGCAGCCCUAAUGCAAAGUGGAAAAGUGUUCUGUGGUUCUGAUGAGUCCACAUUUCAAAUUGUUUUUGGAAACUGUGGACCAAAGAGGAAAAGAACCAUCCGGACUGUUCUAGGGUGAAAGUGUAAAAGGCAGCAUGUGUGAUGGUAUGGGGGUGUAUUAGUGGCCGAAACAUGGGUAACUUACACAUCUGUGAAGGCACCAUUAAUGCUGAAAGGUACGUACAGCUUUUGGAGCGACAUAUGUUGUUAUCAUGGACGCCCCUGCUUAUUUCAGCAAGACGAUGCCAAGCCAGGUGUUCCAAGAGCGUAGUAAAAGAGUGCGGGUACUAGACUGGCCUGCCUGUAGUCCAGACCAUUGAAAAUGUGUGAAGGCUAAAAUAUGAGAAGCAAGAAUGGGAAAGAAUUCCACUUCAAAAAUGUGUCUCCUCAGUUCCCAAACCUUUACUGAGUGUUGUUAAAAGGAAAGGCCAUGUAACACACUGGUAAAAAUGCCUUUUUUUUUGCAAUGUGUUGCUGCCAUUGAAAUUCCAAGUUCAUGAUUAUUAGCAAAAAUAACAAAGUGUCUUUGCAGUCUAUUCAAUUGAAUAUAAUUGCAUUGUUUUUUAAUUAUAUUCUAUGCUAUUGUAUUUAAAAUGAAUAUGAAUAAUGAUUGUAUAAACCUUUUUUUUCCCUGGAUUUUGACUGCUUUGUUAAAGUUAAUGUGUGACACAUUUAACGUAAAUGACCAAAACACAGCUCUUGCUCAGCCAAGCUUAAAAAAUACAAUAAAAAGAAUGUUUGCGAGAAAAUAAAAUACAAGAAAAAAAAGAGUCCCUUUCCAGGCAUUAAUGGCCUCCUGGCCGUGUAUAUUUGUCUCCCUGCAGCAUCACAUGACAUGCAAUUAUACCAGAAGCACACGGCGCCAUCAGCGUUAGCGAGCCAGGAAGCAUGAAUAUGUUGCCCCUAUUCUCCUGGAGCUCAGUCUAAAAAUAUAAAGAGAGGGGUAAUUGCAAAGCCAACCACUUGGAAAACAAAUGUGCCUGUGUUUUCUCAUACACAGCCUGCACCGCAAUGCAAAAAAAAAAAAGCUCUUGAGAGAAUGUUCAAUUAAAGUGAAGCACACGGCCCCAGUGGAAGGAAUAUAAAUGAUAAUGUGCUUUUUUUCCUCCUCUUCCCUCCUGUUUAUAUGCAAUACAAUCAAGUAUUUAGCGUGCGUAUGCAUAUUCAUAUCAUCCUUUCCCUGCUUGGAAAUGUAUUGUGUGCGUGUCUAAUGUGUGCGUAUGGAAAGGUGAUUUUAUGAGUGGGUGGAUUAAAUUAAAAAUAAUAAUCAUAAUAAUAACUCAAUUAAAAUAAAUCAAAUAAUACAACUCGCUGGUUUGUGCAAGCACCUUGGAAAUGUAUUGUGUGUGUGCCUAAUGUGUGCGCAUGAAAAGGUGCUUUUAUGAGUGGGUAGAUUAAAAAAAAUAAUAAAAAAAAGAGUGGGUGGAUAGAUGGAUGGUCAGGUGGGUGGGUGGAAAAACUAAUUUUCUUCCCCCCCUUAACUAUCAUCACACUGCCACCUCUCCUCUCAUCAACGACGUAGUUAGCUUUAAGCUAACUGCACUUUAAUGGCGCCGUUUCAACGGUGAUUUACACACAACACGAGACCCCCACAAACACCCCCCUGUGUCACACUAAAGGGGCGCCCGCUCUCUUUAUUGUUCAUUUAGGACGAUGAGUUGCUGUAAUCACGCUCGGAUCCCGUCCCAAAUUAUUCAAUUAGGCCCUUUUGUUUCCCAACCAGCCGGCAACACUCCAGUGCGAAAAGGGGAAAAAAAAACAAUAAAAAAAAAAAAGGUGCCAUGGUGAGAUGAGGAGUGGGCGAUGCGAGUGUGACUCCAUUAGUGGAUUUGUUUGCCACUUGGAGUGCGGAUAGGAAACCCCUCUCGGCGUUUUGUGCCGUGCUCUCGGUGACGACGGGUGUGCAUGCUAACGUGUUCAUCUGCCAAAAAAAGUGCUACAUUUUUUUUUUUUUAAA